rnacentral:lncRNA from 1 species
CUGCCUCCUGAGUGCUGGGAUUGAAGGCAUGCUCAGCUCAUUGUUUUAUAUCUCAUUCAAAUGAUGAUAUUUGUUGUAGAAAAGAAACAAAAUACAGAUAAGAGGAGGAGAAAAAGAACAAACCAACAACCUUUCAGUGUUGUUAAAGAGCCCUGGGAAAGGACAAGAAGGCUUAGGGCCUGGAAUCCUUUGGAGACUCAGCCACUUUCUGUAGCCCCAGACCUUAGCCAUUUCCCAUCCUGGAAGAAGUCUUAUGAACCAGCUCCCUAUCCUGUUUCCUCAGCAAAGUGAGAUUCAGCAGCCACCCUCACAUGGAGUCGAGGGCUUCGCGGGUGAAGUGACUUGAGAGAGCAUCUAACUCUGCCACAGGUACAACGUAAGGACAGGAAGAUGUCUUGUGGCCCCAGGGAGAGAUGGUGAGGCUAUCCUCAUGCAGGCAGAGAAGCUGUGCUCAAAACCUCAGCCAGUAUCCUCAGCAACAAAUGUGGUUACCACCAUUUUACAGACGGAGUUACCAAGCCGCCCGAGAACUUCAGAGGACGUGGAUACCAUCGUUGAGCAACUGAUGGAGAGUUCAGUUGGGCCCGUGGCUCUCAAUAGAUGCAGGCAGCUGUCCCUCACAACUCUUCUCUCUAGCAGGUGGGGCUUUCUGUGUCCUCUGUCUAUGGGUGUAGCCCUGUCCUUGGCACAGGCCUGACAGGAAGUGGAUGUUUUUGAAAGAUGCCUUGAGCAUGUGAGCUUUGACCAAUGCUCUUGCACACAGAAGUGCUCUCUAUUCAUGCUUGUUGGUUUUAUUAACAAAGCCGGCCACACAAAAGAAAGCUCAUUUCCAUUCCUUCCAGAAGAUUCCCUGUCUAGAUUGCUGAGCCUGGGACAUACAUUUCUCAAGGUUUAAUGGAGUAAGCCGUGUUGGACUGUCAUGGCCUUCCUAGCUGGGCUGAAAAAUGUCUUUGGAACCAGAUGCAGGGAGGUGAUGGGCAAGCUCCAAGACUUCCCAAGGAGCUGGAGUUCGAGUUGGCUCUGAAUCCCGUUUGUCGUCCCCAGCACACAGACUGGAGGCCUCCAGCUGCCAAGGACUUUGUUUUAUUGUCAUUGCAGUUGGCUACUCUCUGGGUUGGAGCUGCCAGGGUAGAGCCAUUGAGCCUCGGACGCUGGGCUGGGUAAUAAUAGCAAUUCCAUAAUUCUCACCCAAGCUCAGGCUAGAAAGAGGAACUGCUGGAGGUGGCUGAGGAAACAGGAGCCCCAGAAGCAGCAGCAGGAAUAACAGCAGGAUGGAGAGGAGGAGGGAGGAGGGGGAGGGAGGUACUGGCUGUUCUCUCUUACUUCCUCCCCCACCUGGCCUUGGAUGUGGCUCACGGAGCAUCUUUCAGUUAGCCUCAGUUCAGUUUUUCCAAGGCUUGUCACAAAAAGGAAGGCUGCAGUGUUAUUCUAAAGUCCCGGGGACACAGCAGAGGACUCUCAGGUAGGAAACUCUGAUAUCAUCUUGUGGAUCCUGCUACAUACAGCCUGCAUGGUGGUCAAGACGGCUUAAUUGGGAAAUGUCUGCAUGUUAUUUCUGUUAAACAUGCCUCUGGAAGAGGGGACACCAGAUUGAUAAAUUCUUCCAGGACUCCCCACCCCAGGCUGUCAAACCCUCAUUUGUGUGUGCUGAUGAGCUUAUGUUCCAGCCCUGGUCUGAGACACCUCUGGUUUCUGGCCUUGGAGUGGGAAG